AUAAAUAAAAGGAAAGCCAAGCAGGCACAGUUUGUCUCUCUCAGGUCUCUUCUCUGGAGUCUGGGCGUUGUUGUUUACUGUGUGUGUGAGUUGAGAGGCAUAUCCUUGGUUGCUACCCUCGAUCAGGAACUGCAGUCAAUCUUGUAAUUUCCUUGGACAUCUUCAUGAUCUUUCAUGUUCACAAAUGCUUUAAAAGGGUCCGCUUCCUACCCACUACUUCAAACUCUUCUGCCUUUUUCCAUACCUCCUUUGAGAGUUGCUCAUCUGCUGUGUCUCCACUCGGGUCGUCGCAGCAAUUGGAAGACCCUACAAGACUAUCAGACCUUGACAUUAUCAUAUCUAGAGUUCCUGUUGGAAGUACUGAUGAUCAAGUACUAUUGUCUCUUUCACAUGAUCAAGCAUGUAAUAGCAUUCAGCUCACACAUCUCCUUGUUCAUCAAUUGUUCCAUCGAUUUAAGAAUGAUUGGAAGUCGGCACUGGGUGUGUUUAGAUGGGCUGAGUCACGACCUGGCUAUAAACUCCCCCCAGAUGCGUAUGAUAUGAUCAUCGACAUUUUAGGUAAAAUGAGGCAGAUGGAUCAGACUAUGCAUUUGUUAGAAAGAAUGCAUCACGAUCGUCUGGUAACACUCAACACUGUAGGUAAGGUUAUGAGAAGAUUCGCUGGUGCGGGGAAAUGGGAGGAUGCUGUGAGGAUAUUUGAUGGGUUGGGAAGAUUUGGAUUAGAGAAGAACACAGAAUCAAUGAACUUGUUGCUUGACACCCUCUGCAAAGAGAACAAAGUUGAGGUCGCCCGCGAUAUCUUUUUAGAACUAAAAUCACACAUCUCACCAAAUGCUCAUACGUUUAACAUUUUCAUUCACGGCUGGGGCAAGGUCAAUCGGGUUGAUGAGGCACACUGGACAAUCCAAGAAAUGAAGGGUCAUGGCUGUCGCCCUUGUGCCAUUAGCUACUCAACCAUUAUCCUCUUUUAUUGCCACAAGUACAACUUUGGUAAGGUCUAUGAACUGUUUGAUGAAAUGGAAGCUCAAGCCUGCCCUCCAAAUGUUGUCACUUUCACCACUGUUAUGUGUUAUCUUGCAAAGUCUGAGGAAUUCGAGGAAGCUAUGCAAUUAUAUGAGAGAAUGAAAUCAGCUGAAUGUAAACCUGAUACCCUGUUCUACAACUCACUGAUCCACACACUAGGAAGAGCUCGACGAGUACGUGAAGCUAUUCAUGUUUUUGAGGUUGAGAUGCCUGAGAAUGAGGUUCCUCAUAAUACAUCAACUUACAAUACGAUGAUUGCCAUGUUUUGCAAUAAUGCUCAGGAGGAGGAAGCCUUGAAAAUCCUCCGGAAGAUGGAAAGUUCAGGGCUCUGUAAGCCUGAUGUUCAGACAUACUAUCCGUUGCUUAAAAUGUGCUUCAAAACUGGCAAAACAGACAGUUGUUUGAUUGAGUUAGUGAAUGACAUGGUCAAUGGACAUCAUCUCAGUCUUGAUCUCUCAACAUAUACACUUCUAAUUCACGGUCUAUGCAGAGCAGGUAAAUGUGAGUGGGCUUACAGUCUGUUCAAAGAGAUGAUUGCUCAAGAGAUGAAGCCUAGAUAUAAGACAUGUCGUUUGCUUUGGGAUGAAGUCAAACUGAAGAAUAUGUCUGCAGCUGCUGACAGCAUUGAAGAUUUCAUGAAGAACCUAUAACCAAAUGGGAAAGUCAUGUCAUUGUACUGAGUUCAUAUGAGGUGACAGAUUUAUAUCUUCAACCAGAAUAACAGUGAUGCUGGUGUUGCAUUGUGUAGAACAAACAUGUUGUCAGAAAGAGCCUUCCAUCUGCCAAGUCUGAUAUGCUUUAAUCAGCAUGGAAUCCUCUGCCUGAAUGGAGUGGGCAGUUGCAUCUUCAAACGUAGUUGCUUCUUCGAAUUGACUAAUGAUAUCCUCCAUUAUUAUACAUUGAAUAUGGGGACCUGCUUGUGUGCCCAAACCAUAUGAAGAGGCCAACAAUUACGGAGCUGGCAGGAUCAUAGAAGGUGAAGGGCCAAUUGCAUUGGUGGCAAGAAAACCUAAAGAGUGAGAAUCCGGCCUGUUUUUCGUGAUGAUUCUGAAGAAAUCCCAAAGUUCUUUGGUGUUGGGCGAGCCUUGAACUUCAUGUACCACAUAUAACUCCUAAUACCCAAUUUUGCAAAGAUUAGUUGCUCAGAAUAGAUCAGGUGGCCUCAAAUUUAAGAGGAAUCAGAAUUGAUUGCAGUUUGUAACUCACAAUUUAGAAGCUUCUGAUAAGUUUUGUAGACAUAAUUUAUCUGGAGUUGGUGUUUUAUGUUGGCCAAUUUGUUAAAUGAAUCAUUAGGAUAUGUCCGAUGUCUUAUGGAA